GUCACAUCAGGUUGAAACACCAGUUCUCUUACGAUCACCGACGUUAAGCAACGUCGAGACUGAUCAGCAGCUAGAUGAGUGACUGCUUGGGAAAUUCAGGUGCCGUAAG